CUGCUACCAGGGAAGGAGCUCCUGCCUUGGGGAGUCUGGGCUGCUGGAUUCUCCACAUCCCGCUUGAACUGCAGCAUCCAGAACUGGACACAGUACUCCAGCUGCAGCCUGACCACUGCUGCAUAGAGAGGGAGAAUCACCUCCCCGGACCUGUUUGUGAAGCACCUACGGAUGCACGACAAGAUGCAACUGGCUUUGCCGAUUACUUCAUGACAUUGAUGACUUAUGUUCAUCCUGGAAUCAACAGUGACUCUGAGAUCUCUUUCUGCCUCCGUGGAGCUGAGAAGAUCGCCCCCCCAGACUACAGUACCUGACGUUGGCGGCAUUCUUUAACACACAUAUGCCUUAUAAGUGCCAGAUGCCAAUGCCAGUGCUGCACAAGGCACAGCACGCGCAGUCCCUACCCCAAGGAGGUUACAAUCUGAACAAGACAGUAACAGAGCAGGAAGACAGCACUGAGAAACAGGACGAGGCAGUUGGCUUGAAAGACAAACAGAUAUAAAUAAUUAUAAGGAUUACAAUAAUUUGCACAAUGCACAAGAGCCCAUUAACUGUCUGAUGAUGAUGCAACAUGCACUGGUUUGUUGUCUGGUUAGGAAAUUGCUUGACAAAAGAAUAUCCCCGCUUUCUUUCCAUGCUUGUAAUAUAAAUGGGAUCAAUGCAGUAGGCAGGCUCUAAUAAAGCCAUCCAGCUUUUUUGAGAAAACAGGUGGGGGCACCUGCGGUAGUGACCUCAAUUUGCUGAGCUGCAAGACCAUUUUCUUAGGCUGCUUCUAUAGAAAUACUAUCAUUAUCUGCCAUACAUAAUUCUGGUUAUGGUUGUGACUGGAAAAUGGAGCUUCUUAGGAGGGCUUACAAGCUGACAUCCGUUCAAUAACAGGCACCUGUGCCAGAAUAGCAGAACGGGGCUGCUCGAGGUGGGGCUCUGAGAUUUGACAUACAGAUGUGGGUGA